rnacentral:rRNA from 1 species
AGGAAUACGUGGGUGACCUACCCCUGAGUGGGGAAUAACCUGCCGAAAGGUGGGCUAAUACCGCAUACGCUGUCUGGUUUGCGGAUCAGGCAGGAAAGCCGUCCCGUGGGGGCGGCGCUCGAGGAUGGGCUCAUGUCCUAUCUGCUUGUUGGUAGGGUAACGGCCUACCAAGGCAACGACGGGUAGCUGGUCUGAGAGGAUGAUCAGCCACACUGGCACUGCGACACGGGCCAGACUCCUACGGGAGGCAGCAGUGAGGAAUAUUGCGCAAUGGGCGAAAGCCUGACGCAGCGACGCCGCGUGGGGGAUGAAGGUCUUCGGAUUGUAAACCCCUUUCGGGAGGGAAGAUGGCGCGGGGUAACCCGCGCGGACGGUACCUCCAGAAGCAGCCACGGCUAACUUCGUGCCAGCAGCCGCGGUAAUACGAAGGUGGCAAGCGUUGUUCGGAUUUACUGGGCGUAAAGAGACCGUAGGCGGUGAGGUCAGCCCUGUGUGAAAGCUCCCGGCUCAACCGGGAAAGGUCGCAGGGUACUGCCUCGCUAGAGGGCGGGAGAGGAGCGCGGAAUUCCCGGUGUAGCGGUGAAAUGCGUAGAGAUCGGGAGGAA